ACAUGAAUGCUAUGUCCCUUGCUCCAGGCUCCAUCUGCCAUUUGGGAGUGUAGCUAAGCCUGGGAGGCAUUGGGAAUUCUUCUCCUACAUUAUCACGACCACGCACUCAUCGGUACUCCUGUUGCAUUAGCCCAGGAAAUGAAAUGCCACUUCUAACAAAUAGGUGUAUUUGCUCUCUUCUUUGGAAAGGCUGUGAGAGCACUAGCUUUCCAUGCAUUUUCUCAUCCAAAAGUUCAGACUACCAGGCCUAACUACAAAGAUCAAACAGAGACCCACUCCAAACAAACACAAACGGAUCUAACUCAAGCACACAAGGUAGCAAUUAAACAAGUUCUAAAGCUUCACCCAAACUCGACGUGCUGUUAGAGAUAUACAAUGGUACGGUUAGAGAUAAUGAUGUCAAAUAGAAACUACAGAGAUAAUGAUAGAAUCCUAAAGAGAUAAAAAUACUCCCUCCAAUUAUUUUUGUUUGAUGUCUCCGACAGGAUCUACAAAAUUAAGAAAGUCAUGUGUGGAAUACCU
rnacentral:lncRNA from 1 species